AGUGAACGCUGGCGGUAGGCCUAACACAUGCAAGUCGAACGGCAGCACAGUAAGAGCUUGCUCUUACGGGUGGCGAGUGGCGGACGGGUGAGGAAUACAUCGGAAUCUACUUUUUCGUGGGGGAUAACGUAGGGAAACUUACGCUAAUACCGCAUACGACCUACGGGUGAAAGCAGGGGAUCUUCGGACCUUGCGCGAUUGAAUGAGCCGAUGUCGGAUUAGCUAGUUGGCGGGGUAAAGGCCCACCAAGGCGACGAUCCGUAGCUGGUCUGAGAGGAUGAUCAGCCACACUGGAAAUGAGACACGGUCCAGAAUCCUACGGGAGGCAGCCGUGGGGAAUAUUGGACAAUGGGCGCAAGCCUGAUCCAGCCAUACCGCGUGGGUGAAGAAGGCCUUCGGGUUGUAAAGCCCUUUUGUUGGGAAAGAAAAGCAGCAGGUUAAUACCCCGCUGUUCUGACGGUACCCAAAGAAUAAGCACCGGCUAACUUCGUG
rnacentral:rRNA from 1 species